rnacentral:lncRNA from 1 species
AUUUAUGAGAAAUAUUACAUAGACGAUUCGACAACCGACAAUACUACCUAUCUUAUGAAGAUUCUUUGUAAAUCUUUCUUCUAUAGUUUGCAUUAAUAAACCAAACCGCUCUAUCCGGGACUUGAAACCUGGAUUUCCUGUAAUCUGCAAGAAAUUGCAUAGUUUUGGGUUCGAACCCCAAACCUGAGUGUAGAAGCCUUUAAAC